UCCCUGGUGGUCUAAUGGUUAAGACUCCACACUCCCAAUGCAGGGACAUGGGUUCAAUCCCUGGUUGGGGAA
rnacentral:tRNA from 1 species